rnacentral:rRNA from 1 species
AUGGAUGGCGACCGGCGCACGGGUGAGUAACGCGUGAGGAACCUGCCUUGGAGAGGGGAAUAACACAGAGAAAUUUGUGCUAAUACCGCAUAAUGCAGUUGGGUCGCAUGGCUCUGACUGCCAAAGAUUUUAUCGCUCUGAGAUGGCCUCGCGUCUGAUUAGCUAGUUGGUGGGGCAACGGCCCACCAAGGCGACGAUCAGUAGCCGGACUGAGAGGUUGACCGGCCACAUUGGGACUGAGACACGGCCCAGACUCC